UGAACGCUGGCGGCGUGCCUAAUACAUGCAAGUCGCGCGCACAGACGCGGAGCUUGCUCCUCUGACGUUAGCGGCGGACGGGUGAGUAACACGUGGAUAACCUACCUAUAAGACUGGGAUAACUUCGGGAAACCGGAGCUAAUACCGGAUAAUAUAUUGAACCGCAUGGUUCAAUAGUGAAAGACGGUUUUGCUGUCACUUAUAGAUGGAUCCGCGCCGCAUUAGCUAGUUGGUAAGGUAACGGCUUACCAAGGCGACGAUGCGUAGCCGACCUGAGAGGGUGAUCGGCCACACUGGAACUGAGACACGGUCCAGACUCCUACGGGAGGCAGCAGUAGGGAAUCUUCCGCAAUGGGCGAAAGCCUGACGGAGCAACGCCGCGUGAGUGAUGAAGGUCUUCGGAUCGUAAAACUCUGUUAUUAGGGAAGAACAAAUGUGUAAGUAACUAUGCACGUCUUGACGGUACCUAAGCAGAAAGCCACGGCUAACUACGU
rnacentral:rRNA from 1 species